rnacentral:rRNA from 1 species
UACGGGGGGAGCAAGCGUUGUUUGGAUUUACUGGGCGUAAAGGGCGCGUAGGCGGUCGUGACAAGUCACUUGUGAAAUCUCCGGGCUUAACUCGGAAAGGUCAAGUGAUACUGUCGGACUAGAGUACAGAAGGGGCAACUGGAAUUCUCGGUGUAGCGGUGAAAUUCGUAGAUAUUCGCAAGAACACCAGUGGCGAAGGCGGCUUCCUGGCCUGUUCUUGACGCUGAGGCGCGAAAGCUAGGGGAGCAAACGGG